rnacentral:lncRNA from 1 species
AUGUUUUUGGAAAAAAAUACGUAGAAUAGUGAUUGAGAAAUUGAUUCUUUUUUUUUUUUUUUUUGCAGUAGCUGAUUUUAUCGUUUUUGGUUUGAUAACCUCAGUAAAUUGAAUUCUGGAAAGGAUACUUGGCGUUUUAGGAUUGUAGUCCUCCAAAAAAUGUGCAGGCCUUGUACUCUUGUGAAUUGACCGUUUAGAUGAUCAGACUCUUCUUUGGUGUUUCGAGUUUAGAGAUUUUUAUCUGUAUGAGGUAGUUGGUAAUUUUAUAGAAAUAGAGUGCUUAGGUUGGGAGGUGUUCAGACAUUACAGUGUGUGAUUUAUACCCGGGUCUUUAGUUAGAAUGUUUCCGUGGGGGAGGGAGUGAGAUGGGCUGGAAAUCUGGGGUUAAUAGCUGCAAACUUUUGCCUUUGGAACAGAUGAGCAGUGAGAUCCUGCUGUGCACACAGGAUGUAGGAACUGUAUCUGGUCACUUACGAUGGAGCAUGAUAAUGCGAGAAAAGGGAGGGUACACAUGGAUGUGUGACUGCGUCACCUUGCUGUGUGUACAGUCGAAAGUGGGCAGCACACUGUAAACCAGCCUCAACGGAAAAAUACCAAUCAUUAUUAAAAAAGAGCUUCCAUUAACCUGUCCACAGUGUAGCAGCCGCUCGACACUGAGAGAGUGUUACUCCCUCCGUCUGACCAGCCAGGCCUCAGCCGGAGGACUUCUCCGUCUGCCUUGGUUCGAGCACUUGUCUUCCAGCAUCAGAAGGCGGCCUCCAGUGUAGACGAACAGCAUGGGAUAGCAGAGUUCAGAAUUACUCAUUCAGAUACAGUUUUCCUCCUUUUUGUUCAUUCUCCACAGGUUGAACUGGUUUAAAGCUGUUGUGAUAAAUUCGUGUUGUAGCUCCAGAGAUUUUGCCAGAGAACCGUUUUUAAGAGUAGUGUCUGUCCUGCAGGGUGGCUCAGGUUCCCACACUGCUCAGAACCCGGCGCCCCGUGAUGGACCAUUUGAGUUAUAAGGCAGCAUUGAGGAGCUUGUUGGGAGAUGUGUCUGGGAUUGCUGUGUGAGGAGUGCUUACUUUUUUUUUUUUUUUUAAGGGAAAUAUGUUUCUGCAUCCAAGGCUGAUAGUGGUUGGUUUGACUGUUCUACCCCUGGGAUGAUUUCAGGAGUAGAAAGUUAUCUGUUGCAGAAUUGCUGCAGGAAAUUGCUCUCCUGCAGCCUUAGCUUACGUUGCAUGGCAUCUCCUAGACGACGGAACACUUGGCCUUCCUAAACUGCACUUGUGAGAUUGUUCCUUGAGCCCUACCCUUAUUAAUGGGAAGUGAAGAAUUUUGUGUUGGACUGUUAUGAAAAUUUCAAGGUUUUCGUUGGACAGCCACUGGUUUUCUCCCCUGAAAACCUUAGGAGUUCCCAUUGUGGCUCAGUGGAGACAAACCCGACUAGUAUCCAUGAGGAUGCGGGUUCGAUCCCUGGCCCAGCUCAGUGGGCUAAGGAUCCGGCGUUGCUGUGAGCUUUGGUGUAGGUCACAGAUGUGGCUUGGAUCCUGAGUUGGCUAUAGCUGUGGUGUAGGCUUGCGGCUACGGGUCUGAUUGGAUCCGACCCCUAGCCCGGGAACUUCCAAGUGCUGUACCUGUGGCCCGUGGGGGGUGGGGGAGGCAAGAAAACCUAAAAAGAUCACUUUGUAAACUUCACUUUUUGAUAUUGGCCACUUUCUGUGUGGGCUUAAAUUUUCUCUUACAAGUAUAUUCUGUCAGCUAUUGUUAAUUUAAUGGGUCAGUGGGACUUUUUUUUUAAAUGUAUGUACUGUGCAUUUUAUUAUUAUCCUAAAAAACCUGUUCAGAAACAAGAUGAUUUCUGUGUACGUUUUGUGGUAGGAAGGUCAAUAUAAUACAUAAUUUCAGUACUGUACAUUAUAAGUACAAAGGUUGUAAGAAUGAAGUUGUGGAGUUCUCAUUGUGGCACAGCCUGAACAAAUCUGAUUAGCAUCCAUGAGGAUGUGGGUUUGAUCCCCGGCCUCGCUCAGUGGGUUAAGCAUUGGGCAGACAGCUCGGAUUCUACGUUGCUGUGGCUGUUGUGUAGGCUAGGAGCUCGAUUACCCCAUAGCCUGGAACUUCCAAAGGUUGCAUGUGCAGCCCUAGAAGGCAAAAAAAAAAAAAAAAUGCAGUUGGGGUAUUGCACUGAACAAAAUGGACAAAAGGCCUUGCCUUCAUGUGUUUUCCACUGCUGGAGACAAACAAGUUAGAUAGUAGUAGGUGUUUUUGAUUUUAUUUUUUUUGUCUUUUUCAGGGCCGAGCCCUCAGCAUGUGGAGGUUCCCAGGCAAGGGGUCUAAUCGGAGCUGUAGCCGCCGGCCUACACCACAGCCACAGCAACUUGGGAUCCGAGCCGAGUCUGCGCCCUACCCCACAGCUCACGGCGACGCCGGAUCCCUAACCGACUGAGUGAGGCCAGGAAUCGAACCUGCAACCUCAUGGAUGCUAGUUGGGUUCAUUCAUUAACCACUGAGCCACGAGGGGAACUCUUUGGGGGGGGGGGGCAGCAUAUGGAGGUUCCCAGGAUAGGGGUUGACCUGAACCUCCACCACAGCUCACAGCAACCCCAGAUCCCUAACCUGCUGAGCGAGGCCAGGGCUCAAAUGCACGUCCUUGUGGAGACUGGUCUGUGGAGACUGGUCGUCGGGUUCGUUACUGCUGAGCCAUCGCGGGAACUCCCGUGGUAGGUGCCUUUGAGAAGAGAAGUAGAGGGCAGGAACAGGGCCUGGCGGUUGCGGGUUUAAAUAGGGUGGAGAGGGAGAAGCCUUACCGACGUGGCGGCAAGACCUGGGAUUAAGAAGAACUUGAGAGUCCGUUAUGACUCAGCGGUGAGCGAAGCCGACUAGCAUCCACGAGGACUCAGGUUCGAUCCCUGGCCUUGCUCAGUGGGAUGGGGAUCCAGCAUUGCUGUGAGCUGUGGUGUAGGUCCCAGACGAGGCUCUGAUCCCACCUGCCUGUGUCUCUGGCGAAGGCCGGCAGCUACAGCUCCCACUGAACCCCUAGCCUGGGAACUUCUGUAUGCUGUGGGUGCCGCCCUAAAGAGACAAAAGG